rnacentral:rRNA from 1 species
UACAGAGGUCUCAAGCGUUGUUCGGAUUCAUUGGGCGUAAAGGGUGCGUAGGCGGCGCGGUAAGUCGGGUGUGAAAUCUCGGGGCUUAACUCCGAAACUGCAUUCGAUACUGCCGUGCUUGAGGACUGGAGAGGAGACUGGAAUUUACGGUGUAGCGGUGAAAUGCGUAGAUAUCGUAAGGAAGACCAGUGGCGAAGGCGGUUCUCUGGGCCUGUACUGACGCUGAGGAGCGAAAGCGUGGGGAGCGAACAGG